UAGCAGAGUGGCGCAGUGGAAGCGUGCUGGGCCCAUAACCCAGAGGUCCGAGAUCAAACCUCGCUCUGCUAA